GGCCCAAUAGCUUAAUUUAGCUUACUGUAGAAUAUAGUGUAAGUUUGGUAGCACGAAGAUCUUUGAAUUCUUAAGAUUAGGUUCGAAGCCUAUUAUUCUAGAAAUAAGAGGAUUUAAACCUCUAUUAUUUACUCUAUCAAAGUAACUCUUUUAUCAGACAUAUUUCUUAUGUUUGGGGUGGGAUACUUGCGGUGAUAAUGGGUAAGGCGGCAUGUCAUAUACACAGGGCUAGGGUUAAUGGUAGAAAGUUUUUUCAUAGGAGGUGUAUUAGUUGGUCGUAGCAGAAUCGAGGGUAUGAUGCUCAGAUUCAUAGGAAAGAAAUGGUUAGGAGUGUUUUAAUGAUGAAGUUGAUAGAGUAGAGCUCUGGUAUGAGUGGGUUGUGAAAUGUGCUGAAAAAUAAGAUUGUUGUAAGAAUAUUUAUUAUAAUAAUAUUUGCGUACUCUGCUAGAAAGAAUAGGGCGAAAGGACCUGCUGCAUACUCUACGUUAAAUCCAGAGACUAGCUCGGAUUCUCCUUCAGUUAAGUCGAAGGGGGCUCGGUUUGUUUCUGCUAAGGUAGAGAUAAAUCAUAUUAUGGCCAGGGGUCAGGCAGGGAAAAUUAGUCAUAUGUGUUCUUGAGUAAUGAUAAGUAUGGAUAGUGUGAAGGAUCCAUUUAUUAGUAACACGGAAAGGAGGAUAAUUGCUAGUGUGACUUCAUAUGAAAUUGUCUGGGCAACAGCUUGGAGGGCUCCGAUUAGGGCGUAUUUGGAGUUUGAGGCUCAUCCUGAUCAGAGGAUGGAGUACACGGCGAGGCUUGAUAUUGCUAGUAUGAAUAGGACUCCCAAGGUAUUUUUAAAUGUUCAUUUAUCUUCCUUCUCCCCAUUUUAACCAUAGCAAACCACCAAGAAAUGUGAUGAUGGUAAAGAAGCUUUUAUAGCAGAUGGCAGCAGCGCUUUCUAUUAAGUAAAUGAAGAUGUAUUGCCAACUGAGUCAUCAUCAAAAUCAAAUUUUAAGAAUCUGUAAUAAGUCACAUUUAAUAAUUAAUAAUGACCUUAAUGGGACAGCUGACAUUUAUUGAGACAUUUAUUGACAUUUACUAUGGACAGGCAUAUUCUUCACAGCUACUCUGAGCCUCAUGGAUGUGUAAGCAGUGCAGUUGUACAGAGCCCUCCACUCAGAAAGGUGCUCCGUAACUGGGGUUCAAUGCUCUGUGAUUAAAAUUGAAAUUCUUAACAAUUUUAUCUUUGAAUUUGUGUUUUGUAAGUGAAGUCUGGUGACAUAAUGGGGCAUGCACUGGGGACUUGGAAACAGCUGAUUGUCUCUGGUUGUCUCCCCCCAGUCUCUCCCCAGAAUGGGUUCUUGGCUGCCUAUUUCCUGGCCUCUGGCCCAGGCAGGGGCUUGGAUGCCAGCAUAGGGAAAAUUGGGUUGAGGAUGCCUGCCAAGUCGUGAGGCAGGGCUCCAUGCCCCUGUGAGUAUCCCCAUGCCCAAAGGAAUGCAACAUUAAAUAGUGAAUAAUAAACAAGUUGAGUGAGAAAUCACAGAAGAAAGGAAAUAAGCUCUUUUCCUGCUUUUUGAACAAGGAGCUCUGCAUUUUCAUUUGCACUGAGCCCCAUAAAUUAUGUAACUGGUCCUGGGUAUAUUACCAUCACCAUUUUGCAAAAAUGAAGGCUCAGAGAGGCUCAGUAAUGUCCCCAAGAUCACAUGGCUACCAAGUGACAAAGUUCAGGCAUGGACUUAGAUCCUAGAGGAGAAGAUUCUGAGGUCUUAAAGAGCCAGAACACAGAAAGGGUCUCAAGAUUUGGCAUUGUCACUUAUACGAGUUGGGAUUUUGAUCACAACUUGUAUAAGUGAUCAAAAUAUCAUCUUUGCCCACCUUUCUGACAGAGCUACUAAGAGGAUUCAGUAGGCAUCACCCAUCCAGCAUGAUACUUCACAGUGUAUAAAGCGCUUUCAUUCCACUCCCUCCUCUGAAAAGUACUGAGCAGAAAGCAGGACCAGGACUAUUCUUAUUCCCAUUUUACAGACAGGAAAGUUGAAGGACCAGAGCUGCAGAGUGCACCAUGGACUUCUCGGUGCAGGAACCGUUGCUCUGAGGAGGUUGGCUUAAUCCCUGGCUUUGAGAGACCCAGGUAUGGGUAAGGAGGCCAGAGAGGUACCAAGAACUCCUGAAAGAAGACACAUGGCCAGCAACUUUCAAAGGUCCUCAGAAUCCUUUGGGUUGUCUCCCCAUCACAGGACAUCUGUUAUCCAUAGAUCAAAAGACACACAGGACAGCUGUUAUCCAUAGAUCAUCCCACAGGUGGACAGAGGGACCAAAUGACAGAUGCAGCAGAAGUAUCCCCUUAGCUCUCAGCUCCAUUCCUCAAGCCUCCCUACCCAUGACUAGUCAGUCCACUGGCUGGUCCUGGGGGAGGGCCCCAUCUGCAGAGAGGGUGGGGUCUGACCACCAGAAGUCAUUGCAGCUAGUUCAUGCAUCCUUGGCUCUGCCUUACUUCCCUGGGUUCCUCAGUCCCUGGUUCCCUGGGUGAGGAUAUGACAUCUACAAUGCAGGAAGGCCUGUCCAGGGCUAUCCUGGGCUAUCCACUUCUCUUCCCUGAGGCUUCACAUAGCCCCAGAAUGUGUUUGUGAAGUGGUUCCUGAAGUCAGGACCCCCUUCCUGUCCAUCCUCAGACCUUCCAGGAGGCACUAGAAUGGAGCUGUCCAAUAAAACAUUCAAUAGUGAUGGAAAUGUUCUGUGGUGCCUGACAGCCACUAGCAACAUAUGGCUACAGAACACAGUGGCCAGUGAGACGAAGGAGCUAAUUUAAACUUUUUUUAUUAUUAAUUUAUUAAUGAGAGAGAGAGAGAGGGAGAGAGAGCGGCAGAGAGAGAAGCAGGCUCCAUGCAGGGAGCCUGACAUGGGACUCGAUCUCGGGUCUCCAGGAUCAGGCCCUGGGCUGAAGGCAGCGCUAAACCACUGAGCCACCCAGGCUGCCCUAAUUUAAACUUUUAAUUUCAUUUUAAUU
rnacentral:lncRNA from 1 species